rnacentral:rRNA from 1 species
UACGUAGGGGGCUAGCGUUGUUCGGAAUUACUGGGCGUAAAGCGCGCGCAGGCGGUCUUCCAAGUCAGGUGUGAAAGCCCGGAGCUCAACUCCGGAACUGCCAUUGAAACUGUUGGACUUGAGUACGAGAGAGGUGAGUGGAAUUCCCAGUGUAGAGGUGAAAUUCGUAGAUAUUGGGAAGAACACCGGUGGCGAAGGCGGCUCACUGGCUCGUAACUGACGCUCAGGCGCGACAGCGUGGGGAGCAAACAGG